rnacentral:lncRNA from 1 species
CAGGUCCUGCAGCGGAACCUGGAGCAGGAGCAACAGCAACGAGGGGUGAGGUGGCCGGCCUCCAGGGCUGCUCAGUCUCCCUCCACCCCCGCUGCCUGCUCACCACUGGCCUCUGAUUUCUCGCCGUAGAUGGGGGGGUAGUGGUUACCCCGGGCUGGGCCCCUCCAGGAGUCACAGAUGAGGCCCCCGCAGAGACUGGUGACACGCUUCUGAGCAGGGGCCCCUGGGGACUUCAACUGCCCAGCAACAUGGAGGAUGGUGUCCUGAGGCCUCCAAGGACGGUCCCCACCCCUCUACGUUUCCCCAAUAAAGCCUUUUAAAAACCUG